CUCUGAAAUAUGGUUUUGUGUUGAAAGCAUAAAUUAAAGACAAAAGGAAUAUGUAAAGAUUGCCCCAAAUCUCUAAGUCGGUGGCAGGGUUCUGGAGCUGGUGAGGCACAGAAGCUGUUUCCUGGGAGGUCACAGAGACCAUCUUAUUAGCCCUUCUGUCUGCAGUACUCUUAGGAAGAAGGCAGGGAGUCACUUAAGGCCCUCUUUUAUUUGACUGAAUAAAAGUGUGAAAUAGACAAUCUGCAAAGCAUUUAACAGCCCUCAUGUAUAAAUAUAACAGGAGCACAAAUGCUAAUGAUGAAUUCAGGAACAUUGCCUCAGAAGCUGGCAAACAGUAAUGCUAAGAAAUAAUUAUAGGGUUUCAGCCCAAUUUAACACAUUAUGCAAGAAGUGUUAAAUGAAGAAAUUUUUUUUUUUUUAUCCUUCAGACUUGUUCUUCCUCUCUCUUUUUCAUGCAGAAAAGUAUAGAGCAAAUACAAUAAGCACUCAUGGACCACUCUCUAGAAUAAUAAAUGUCAGGCCAUGUUGCUUCAGAUUUUUUCUUUUUUGGCCGCCCCAUGGCAUAUGGAGUUCCUGGGCCAGGGAUCAGAUCCCAGCCACAGUUGCGACCUAAGCCACAGCUGCACAAUGCCGGAUCCUUCACCCACCGUGCCAAGCUGGGGAUUGAACCUUGGUCCUGGUGCUCCCAAGACGCCACUGAUCCUGUUGCGCCACAAAAGGAACUCCCAGAUUUUAAAACAUGAAAUAAAUAAGGCAUUUCUGUCUUUCCCUCCCUCCUCUCCUCCCCAGAGGAAACCACUGUGGUUUGGUGAGCUUCCUGUCAUGGAGCAUGUAAUCUUUGAGGUGAUCUGCUUCUUCUACAGGAACCAUCCUUUGUACAGAUGACCUUACCGCUUUAAGACAGGUUGUAAACUGGCUGCCUGCAGCAGCCGUGCCGCUGACUCUCUCAGCUGGUCGUUAUUUCUUGACAUAUGGAUGAUAAACCCUACUCACUCCCCACGCAGAGUCAUGCUGUGCUAAUUUUUAAUUAUGCAUUUUAUGGAAUGACAGAGACAAUUCUAAUUAAUUUACGCCUUCUUCUUGGGUAUUUUUUUUUUUUAACACUUUACAUGAGAAGUAGCGGAUAAUUUCCAGGGAUGUGGAGUAAGCUGAUUUAGUUGCGAUGUUUUUCCUAGAAGUAUUCCUUAAGGAGGAAACAACCAGCCUCCAAGGAGUCAGUCUUUCACACACUGUCUUGCCUCCUUCCAGGCUAUGAAGUGGAAAUAAGUCAUUACUCAUUUACACCUGCUGUGGACACGCCCCCUCACCUGGCCUUCGCUGAGUUCAGUAUAGAUGCUACUGCAGCCAUUGUUCUUAAGUGGAAGGCCUCAGUCCAGGGUGCUCCAGGGCUCUGUCCUGAGCUCACUACAACCUUUCAUGGGUUGUUCUUUUAUUUUUUUGGGGGGAGUUCCCGUUGUGGCUCAGUGGUUAACGAAUCUGACUAGGAACCAUGAGGCCAGGGAUUGAACCUGCGUCCUUAUGGAUGCUAGUCAGAUUCGUUUCCACUGAGCCAUGACGAGAACUCCCUAUGGGUUUGUUUUCUUAAUAAGAAGCCUGUGGGUGGACAGUUGCUGGCACUGCUUUGGUGUCUUCAAGGAUGUCAGGGUAACUGAGCUUCUCUUGGUCUCCUUCCUUCAUGGGCUCAAGACGGCUACUACUGCUCUGGCUAUCAUGUCUGUCUCACCAAAGGAAGAAGAAUGAAGGAUGGAACUAACCAGAAGGAUAGUUCUGGUUCAAUAGCUUUCUUAAAAUUCCUUCCUAGAGACCGUACCUAAGAACUUCUGCUAAUAUCUCAUUGGUCAGCUCUAUCUUCAGGGGAUGUUGGGAAAGUUAAUUUUCUCCAGUCACUUUGCUCCCCUCAAAAUACACAUGUUCUGCUACUAAGUUUAAAGAGAAGGACGGAUAUUGUAUGGGCAGCCAGUGGUCUCUGUCAUGGCAGGAUCUCCCUGCAGCUCAAGGGCUUCGGAUAAUUUUGUUUCUGUGUUAGUAAUUGACUGCCUUCUCCUAGAUCCACAACUUCUGGGAGUCUGAUCAUUUACCUUUUUAGCAUAGGGAAGUUUUUGCCUUUAAGAAGUUUGUUCAAGAAAAAAUAAUUACAGAAAGAGAUGGGAACAUAGGAUGUUGUGAGCUCAAUUAGGUGUCAGUAUAGGUAUAGGGGAGUGUAGUUCCUACAUAAGAUGCACUCUGUGGGAGGUGCUCUCUGGCUAAUGGCGAAGGAGGCUUUGUCACGUGGCCCAUAUCCUGUCCGUCACAUUUCUAACUAUAGACAGGUUGACAGGAAGAGGAAAACAGUAUCCAUUUCAUCCUGGGAUGCAAAGAAGGGCGGUCAUUAGCCUGAUUCUGUAAAUAAGAAAGAUUAUCAGGCAAGAGUAUACACAAAGAAAGACCAUGGCAGUGAGGUAUAAUGACUUAUUUAAUGUCAAGUCAUAGUUGGAGUUGGAAGCAAGCCCAUGAGCGCUAUCUAGAAAGAUCAACACCCGGAAGUAGGAGGUUUCAGCUCUAGGCUCAGAGCUGCAGUAACCAAUUUAUACAACUGAAAAAAAUGACUUAACCCAGAGUUCCUGUUGUGGCUCAGUGGUUAAUGAAUCCGACUAGGAACCAUGGGGUUGCGGGUUCGAUCCCUGGCCUCGCUCAGUGGGUUGAGGGUCCGGCGUUGCUGUGAGCUGUAAUGUAGGCUGGUGGCUACAGCUCCAAUUGGACCCCUGGCCUGGAACCUCUGUAGGUCAUAGGUGCGGCCCUGGAAAAGACAAAAAGACAAAAAAAGAAAAAAAAA
rnacentral:lncRNA from 9 species